UACGGGGGGAGCAAGCGUUGUUCGGAAUCACUGGGCGUAAAGGGAGUCUAGGCGGUUUGGUAAGUGGGAUGUGAAAUGCCCGGGCUCACCCCGGGACCUGCAUCCCAAACUGCUGAGCUUGAGUACAGGAGAGGGUGGGGGAAUUCCAGGUGUAGCGGUGAAAUGCGUAGAUAUCUGGAGGAACACCGGUGGCGAAGGCGGCAUCCUGGACCGGUAUUGACGCUGAGGCGCGAAAGCCAGGGGAGCAAACGGG
rnacentral:rRNA from 1 species